rnacentral:rRNA from 1 species
GACGAACGCUGGCGGCGUGCCUAAUACAUGCAAGUAGAACGCAGUUUCGAACGGGUGAGUAACGCGUAGGUAACUGCCUCUUAGCGGGGGAUAACUAUUGGAAACGGUAGCUAAUACCGCAUACCACCGAAUGUGCCCAGAUGGGAUUAGCUAGUAGGUGGGUAAACGGCUCACCUAGGCGCCGAUCCCUAGCUGGUCUGAGAUGAUGACCAGCCACACCGGAACUGAUACACGGCCCAGACUCCUACGGGAGGCAGCAGUAGGGAAUCUGCGGCAAUGGACGGAAGUCUGAACGAGCAACGCCGCGGUAGGGAAGAAGGUUUUCGGAUCGUAAAGCUCUGUUGUUAGAGAAGCGGUAACUAACCAGAAAGGGACGGCUAACUACGUGCCAGCAGCCGCGGUAAUAC